AGCAACUUUCUGAAAUGGCUGUUGUACCAUGGUGCAUCUUUACCAUCCCUCACAAUCUUGCUUGGGACACACCGCUCUAAUUAUCUGCCUACGCUUGAAUGCAUUUUCAAACACCGAGAUUCAAAUCGCAGAAGACGUCGCAUUCAUGCAAGAGGCUCACGUAGGAGCAAAAGGAGACGUUUUUGCUGUAGUUAAAAGCUGCAACGUGGAUGGGCUGGAAGUCAAACUAACAUCCUCUCAGCUAGGAGCUCCUGGGAUUUGUCAGCAUCUGCUGCCACCUCUGCAUCCCCAGUCCCAGUUCUGCCCUGGAACACUGCCAUCCAUCACCGUGGCUACACACUGGUCUCUUC